UCUCUUUAAUCUCUCAAUUUACAUGAAUUAAUUAUGAAUUAUUGAAUUAUUUUCCAAUUCUAUUUUUUAAUUUCUAGGGUUUGUGUAAUUGUGGUAAUUAUAGAAGUAAUUGUCUUUAAAAUUCAUCUAAUUUUGUAAUUUCUUUUGUGAAUUUCGUUUUUUUCCGCUGUGAAUUUCGUGGCUAGUUUGUAGCCUGCCUCAUAUGCAAGGUUAGAGUUGUACAAUUGUGCCCUUAACCAACUAAUUGUGCAGUCUAAAUUACGUUUAUCAAAAGUUUAUAUUACCCGGGUCGAGUGGAUUCAAAUCUAGUUUAAGAUUUAUAAUGAUUUGCGGACUUUGUGGUUUAAAAAUUUGUGUGCUUGCUAUUUGCUAGUAUCAUAGUUGAGUAAUUCUGUAGUAAAUAUAGUUGUCGUUUGAUCGAAUAGAACUUAUAUUGUUAUAAGUGAAAUAAACCCUUAUCAAUUGUUAAAUCUGUGGCACAUAUCCAUUUGUUGCUAUGACUAGUGCAGAAUUAUGCAUCAUUCUUGGAUGAGUUACUGGUCACAUAAUAUCGAGGGUGUCAGCUUUUUGAGAUGAUCCUAAUUAUCCUGUAGAGUACAGACUAAAGCUAGUAUAUCAAUGGGUAUGGUGAUCUGAUUCCUUUUAGUAUACACUGCUAUAAUUUUAAGUGUUUGACCUUGAUGCAAUCAGAUUGGCUGCUUUGUUCUUUGGUAACUUCUGUUUUGGAACAUUGGUUGAAGUAUUGAGCUACAAAAAUCCAUCAAUAUUUUCUUUGGUGUGUCGAGCUAUACUUUCUAGUCAACUCCAUUGUGUUUGUAGAUGUAGCCUAUGGGCUCCAGAUUCCCUAUUUUAUUGAUUGCUUGUAGGCUAUCAUGGCUUAGAUCCAUAUGUUACCCUCUUUUGCCCCCAAACCCACAAGCUUAGAAGUAUUGUUAUCAAAAUAGCAUGCACUUCAGGACUCCUUAAUGGAAGUCAUAAAUAUCUGGUACACCCACACACUCUUAAUUUCAGGUAAGCAUGUUAUCAAGAGCCCCACACCUAGAGUAGCUACAACAACACCACCAAUCAACAUUCAAACCACAUCACAGUAUCACACUCUAAAAAAUACAACCUCUAUUUGGCAUAAAGUCAGGGGAGCAAAGUUCUAGUUGCAAGAUGGUGAAAGCUUGAUAAUUGGUUAACUGAAUCAACCGAUCAAACAAAAAAGAACUGAAAAUUUUGUAGUCAGAGUUGCCAUCCUAGCUCUAAUCCAAAUGCUAUAUUGUGCAUCUUAUGAGAGGGAGAGAAAGAACUAAAGACGAACAAACCAAUGUCAUGUAUUGUAAAUGUAGAUUUUGGUACUAGUCAUACAACCGUCAUUGUAAACUCCGUUUACUACGUCUCCAGCAAACUCUGAGUUUCUAACUAAUUUCUAACAUAUCUCUUCUAAUAGCUGCACAGUUAUGGGUUACAAAUACAUAAUAGAGUAGUUGGCUAGGUUGUUGUUACACAUAGAAGGCUCCUGACACAACAACCAAGAUAAGUGUUCUGAAGCUCGUUGUUCAUCAAACUUCAGACUUACAUAACAAGCUCACAAGUGCGAUGGACGAAAUCUAUGAGAGGGUGGAUACUCUAACUUACCAGGAUUAUCAUUAUUCCAAAGUGGAAAUGGAUAAAAAGCUUAAGCUAACCCAUUAAAAUACUUCCACAGAAAAGAGAAAUGCGUAUAACCUGUACAUGUAAGAACAACACUAAGCAAAACUAAAUUAAGGGUAGUCUAGAAUGAAUAAAACCAUAAAUCAUAGACAUUGUAUCAACAGUAUGCAAGUUCCAGAAGAUGUUAAGUAUAUUUUUUCAUUCAUGAAAUUGCAGAAAGACCCACUCAAGUCAUCACAAUGAAUAUUCUGAUUAGUUCCUGGAUAAAAUUAUUUUUACAAUACUCGAAACUUGCUAGUGUAACAUUUUCCUUUAUCUUUGUUCAAUAACAUCGCCGUCUAACAGUGACUAAUCCACUUUCUUCUUUUGCAAAAACAUGCAAUCUCUUUUUGUACAUAGCAAAUAAAUUGAAGUUUUCCAAUUUAAGUGGGAGAGUGAUGAAUAAAAGCCCAAAUCAAACCCAUAAAUCUUAACUGGUCAUUAUCAAGAACCACCACAUCAUUUAGAGUUGCAAGGUGCAGCCAAUGACACCAUAACUAAUUAUUCCACUAACAUUUGAGGUACCACUUUCCCGGGAUUCCAAUAUGCGAUGGCAGGAACGUAUUAACUGUUGUCCUAAAGGCUAAUCAGUCUAAUCAAAUCACAUCAAAAGGAAAGGAAAGGGACGCUAUUGACCGGAAACACCAUCUAGGGGAUCAUACUUAUGUCUCAGUAACUGAUAGUGGUUAAUGGCAGAUAGAGCUAGAAGGUCUUGACAUUGCAAACAGUUUAAAAGGUCACUGUUCGACAGAAUACUGCAUCAUGUGAAGAGAUGGCUACAACAAUGUCUACGGGCCUACGACAGAAUCUGUAGCUCAUAAAGGACUACCUCAAUGCAUUGUUACUGUGAUGGCUGAGGUUGAUCUAACUGAAUCCUAGACACUGGAGAGACAUGAAUUUGUGUUUGAUGCGGUGCUACACGAAAAUGUCUCAGAUGAUGCAGUGUAUGCUGAAAGAGUGAAGCCUGUUGUCCCACUGAUAUUCCAAAAGGCAAAAGCAACAUGUUUUGCAUAUGGUCAAACAGGCUUUUCCCAAAUGGCGUUGACGGAGAGAAACCUUCAGAAGUGACAGAGAUGCCAGCUGCUCCUGUACACCCUUUCCACUCCAAGAUGAACAUUCGAAGAGGGAUACUACAAGAAGAAAGUGCAGACAUAAUAUAGCACUUCUCCCGACUCAAAAGGAGGAAGGCUAAGGAAAAGGAAAAGGAUAUAUCAUCAUCCGAUGAAUCAGGCCAACGGUUUAGGUUUGCUUGGACCUGAUUUAUAUUCUUGUCUGAAGAUACUGGGAUUAUGUGUGUCUGCUAUAUAAGUUGUCAAAUGUUUUCGGUUUCGCGUGGAAAAUAUCAAAUGUCUGCUAUAUAAGGUAGCUUAUUGAAUGUUUGGCACGGCAGUUAACCUGUCCUAUCACUAUUUAGGUCGUUUAUUUUUGUAAACAUAUGAUGGUUGGCUUAUAUGUGAAAAUCAAAGUUUCUUGGAAGUUAUUGGUGGUUGACGAUACUUUUGGAAAAAUCAAAGUUUCUUGGAAGUUAUUGGUGGUUGAUGAUACUUUUGGACAUUGUAUAAAUAUGGCGUGAGUACAGGUU